CUGCCCCAUACACCGGAAUAGCUCCUGGAAACGGGUGGUAAUGCCGGAUGCUCCAGUUGACCGCAUGGUCCUCUGGGAAANCUUUUGCGGUAUGGGAUGGGGUCGCGUCCUAUCAGCUUGAUGGCGGGGUAACGGCCCACCAUGGCUUCGACGGGUAGCCGGCCUGAGAGGGCGACCGGCCACAUUGGGACUGAGAUACGGCCCAGACUCCUACGGGAGGCAGCAGUGGGGAAUAUUGCACAAUGGGCGCAAGCCUGAUGCAGCGACGCCGCGUGCGGGAUGACGGCCUUCGGGUUGUAAACCGCUUUUGACUGGGAGCAAGCCCUUCGGGGUGAGUGUACCUUUCGAAUAAGCACCGGCUAACUACGUGCCAGCAGCCGCGGUAAUACGUAGGGUGCAAGCGUUAUCCGGAAUUAUUGGGCGUAAAGGGCUCGUAGGCGGUUCGUCGCGUCCGGUGUGAAAGUCCAUCGCUUAACGGUGGAUCCGCGCCGGGUACGGGCGGGCUUGAGUGCGGUAGGGGAGACUGGAAUUCCCGGUGUAACGGUGGAAUGUGUAGAUAUCGGGAAGAACACCAAUGGCGAAGGCAGGUCUCUGGGCCGUCACUGACGCUGAGGAGCGAAAGCGNNGGGGAGCGAACAGGAUUAGAUACCCUGGUAGUCCACGCCGUAAACGGUGGAUGCUGGAUGUGGGGACCAUUCCACGGUCUCCGUGUCGGAGCCAACGCGUUAAGCAUCCCGCCUGGGGAGUACGGCCGCAAGGNNAAAACUCAAAGAAAUUGACGGGGGCCCGCACAAGCGGCGGAGCAUGCGGGAUUAAUUCGAUGCAACGCGAAGAACCUUACCUGGGCUUGACAUGUUCCCGACAGCCCCAGAGAUGGGGCCUCCCUUCGGGGCGGGUUCACAGGUGGUGCAUGGUCGUCGUCAGCUCGUGUCNCGAGAUGUUGGGUUAAGUCCCGCAACGAGCGCAACCCUCGCCCUGUGUUGCCAGCACGUCGUGGUGGGAACUCACGGGGGACCGCCGGGGUCAACUCGGAGGAAGGUGGGGAUGACGUCAGAUCAUCAUGCCCCUUACGUCCAGGCNUCACGCAUGCUACAAUGGCCGGUACAACGGGAUGCGACACCGCGAGGUGGAGCGGAUCCAUNAAAACCGGUCUCAGUUCGGAUUGGAGUCUGCAACCCGACUCCAUGAAGGCGGAGUCGAUAGUAAUCGCGGAUAAGCAACGCCGCGGUGAAUGCGUUCCCGGCCUUGUACACACCGCCCGUCAAGU
rnacentral:rRNA from 1 species